rnacentral:rRNA from 1 species
AUCAGGGCCUCGCGGCCCAACCUCCCACCCUUGUCUCUAUAUACCUGUUGCUUUGGCGGGCCCACCUGUGGCCAGGUCGCCGGGGGACGUCUGUCCCCGGGCCCGCGCCCGCCGAAGCGCCCUGUGAACCCUGAUGAAGAUGGCUGUCUGAGUCGUAUGAGAAUCGUUAAAACUUUCAACAAUGGAUCUCUUGGUUCCGGCAUCGAUGAAGAACGCAGCGAAAUGCGAUAAGUAAUGUGAAUUGCAGAAUUCCGUGAAUCAUCGAAUCUUUGAACGCACAUUGCGCCCCCUGGCAUUCCGGGGGGCAUGCCUGUCCGAGCGUCAUUUCUGCCCUUCAAGCAUCGGCUAUGUAAAGUUGAGCCGUGGUUCCCCCCGGGAAACCUAGCCCGAAAGGCANUUGGNGACAGUACCGUUCUCGUCCCUGGAGCAUAUGGUGCUUUGUCACUCGCUCGGGAAGUACCUGCGGGGGUUGGUCCAACACCACAUUUUACCAC